rnacentral:tRNA from 1 species
UGGGAAGUUGAGCAAUUGGUUGGCUCAGCAGACUGUAAAUCUGCCGUCUUUCGACCUUGGGGGUUCGAGUCCCUCCUUCCCAA